rnacentral:rRNA from 1 species
UACGUAGGGUGCAAGCGUUGUCCGGAAUUAUUGGGCGUAAAGAGCUCGUAGGCGGUUUGUUGCGUCGGCUGUGAAAUCCCGAGGCUCAACCUCGGGUCUGCAGUCGAUACGAGCAAACUAGAGUGUUGCAGGGGAGACUGAAAUUCCUGGUGUAGCGGUGAAAUGCGCAGAUAUCAGGAGGGACACCGGUGGCGAAGGCGGGUCUCUGGGCAACAACUGACGCUGAGGAGCGAAAGCGUGGGGAGCGAACAGG